AACAGGUUAGUGAACUCAGGACCAGCUGGAUGAGGGGACUGAGGCUUCAGUGUGUUAGUAGAACAGGUUAGUGAACUCAGAACCAGCUGGAUGAGGGGACUGAGGCUUCAGUGUGUUAGUAGAACAGGUUAGUGAACUCAGAACCAGCUGGAUGAGGGGACUGAGGCUUCAGUGUGUUAGUAGAACAGGUUAGUGAACUCAGCCCCAGGACCAGCUGGAUGAGGGGACUGAGGCUUCAGUGUGUUAGUAGAACAGGUUAGUGAACUCAGAACCAGCUGGAUGAGGGGACUGAGGCUUCAGUGUGUUAGUAGAACAGGUUAGUGAACUCAGAACCAGCUGGAUGAGGGGACUGAGGCUUCAGUGUGUUAGUAGAACAGGUUUGUGAACUCAGGACCAGCUGGAUGAGGGGACUGAGGCUUCAGUGUGUUAGUAGAACAGGUUAGUGAACUCAGAACCAGCUGGAUGAGGGGACUGAGGCUUCAGUGUGUUAGUAGAACAGGUUAGUGAACUCAGAACCAGCUGGAUGAGGGGACUGAGGCUUCAGUGUGUUAGUAGAACAGGUUAGUGAACUCAGAACCAGCUGGAUGAGGGGACUGAGGCUUCAGUGUGUUAGUAGAACAGGUUAGUGAACUCAGCCCCAGGACCAGCUGGAUGAGGGGACUGAGGCUUCAGUGUGUUAGUAGAACAGGUUUGUGAACUCAGCCCCAGGACCAGCUGGAUGAGGGGACUGAGGCUUCAGUGUGUUAGUAGAACAGGUUAGUGAACUCAGGACCAGCUGGAUGAGGGGACUGAGGCUUCAGUGUGUUAGUAGAACAGGUUAGUGAACUCAGCCCCAGGACCAGCUGGAUGAGGGGACUGAGGCUUCAGUGUGUUAGUAGAACAGGUUUGUGAACUCAGGACCAGCUGGAUGAGGGGACUGAGGCUUCAGUGUGUUAGUAGAACAGGUUUGUGAACUCAGGACCAGCUGGAUGAGGGGACUGAGGCUUCAGUGUGUUAGUAGAACAGGUUUGUGAACUCAGCCCCAGGACCAGCUGGAUGAGGGGACUGAGGCUUCAGUGUGUUAGUAGAACAGGUUAGUGAACUCAGGACCAGCUGGAUGAGGGGACUGAGGCUUCAGUGUGUUAGUAGAACAGGUUAGUGAACUCAGCCCCAGGACCAGCUGGAUGAGGGGACUGAGGCUUCAGUGUGUUAGUAGAACAGGUUAGUGAACUCAGGACCAGCUGGAUGAGGGGACUGAGGCUUCAGUGUGUUAGUAGAACAGGUUAGUGAACUCAGCCCCAGGACCAGCUGGAUGAGGGGACUCUUUUCUUUGCUCAGCUCUUGGCAUUGCAGGGUUUGGUAAUGAUAUGAGAGGCGGUCACUGUAUUUUAGAUGUUUCCAAAACUUAAUUGCUCUUUGUUGAGUUUUUAUUAUUAGUUGUUA